AAGUCAAGGGAAGACACUGUUGGUGGUUGGCAGGCUGAGGAAUGGGUGGCCUGCCUCAUCAACACACAGGAAACCAAAAUGGAAAGGAGCUCCCUAAAUAAUGAAUCUGAAAUUUUGGUUAUGUGACUUGCUCAAGAAAAACACAAGUAGCAAGAGGAAGCAUGGAUUCAAACCCAGUAUGACUUUGGCACCCCCUCAACAAGAAAUAGAACGCACUUGAUCUCCUAGACUAGAAGAAUAUGGCAGACGUGAAGUGGCCCAACCCUAACCUGGCCUGGCAGCUUCUGCUUCCUUCCCCUUGAAACACCCACUCUUGAGAUGAUCCCUCC